GAACAUAUGGGUUUGAUCCUGGCCCAGAAUGAACGCGAGCAAUAGGCUUAACACAUGCAAGUUGAAUGGCCUAAGAACAGAAGCAAUUGUAAGCUAGGCCAUAGCGAACGGGUGAGUAACACGUGGGAAUCUACCAUAAAGUUCGGAAUAAAAUUCCGAAUACUCAAAGGCAAAGACUGCUUUAUGAUGAGCCUACGGAGGAUUAGGUAGUUGGAAGGGUAAAAGCCUCCCAAGCCAAUGAUCCUUAGCUGGUCUGAGAGGACGUUCAGCCACACUAGAACUGAGACACGGUCUAGAGAUUUACGGAUCGCAGCAGUGAGGAAUUUUAGACAAUGGGCGAAAGCCUGAUCUAGCUCUAUUGCGUGGGUGAUGAAGGCUCUUUUGGUCGUAAAACCCUUUGAUGAAAGAAUGAUGUUGACAGUAUUUCAAAAACAAGUCCUGGCUAAACCUGUGCCAGCAGCCGCGGUAAUACAGGUAGGGCAAGCGUUAUUCAGAAUGACUGGGCGUAAAGGAUACGUAGGCGGUAUUUGAAGUUGAAAAUGAAAACCGAGAGCUUGACUUUUGGACUGUUUUCAAAACCAAAAUACUUGAGUAUGAAAGAAGAAGGUAGAAUUUCUCAUGGAAGAGUGAAAUCUGUAGAGAUGAGAAGGAAUACCAAAAGCGAAGGCAGCCUUCUAGUUCAUCACUGACGCUGAGGUAUGAAGGUAUGGGGAGCGAGCGGGAUUAGAUACCCCGUUAGUCCAUACAGUCAACUAUGUCGGUUCCCUCUCGUUGCAAAGCUGCGGGGGGACAGCUAACGCACAAACCGACCGCCUGAGGAGUACGGCCGCAAGGUUAAAACUCAAAGGAAUUGACGGGGGCUCACACAAGUGGUGGAGUAUGCGGUUUAAUGCGAAACAACGCGCAAAACCUUACCAGUCCUUGACAUUCAUUGCGAACACAUAGGUUAUACUAUGUUCUAUUCUUUGAACAGGUGUUGCAUGGCUGUCGUCAGCUCGUGUCGUGAGAUGUCGGAUUAAGUUCUAGAACGAGCGCAACCCUCAUUUGAAAUCUAACACAGGCUGUGUUGCAGCUUUGUGUUUUUCAAAAACUGCCAGUGAUAGACUGGAGGAAGGCGAGGAUGACGUCAAGUCCGCACGACCCUUAUGGGCUGGGCUACACGCGUACUACAAUGAUAGCUACAAUGGGAAGCAAGAGUGCGAGCUGGAGCAAAUCCUCAAAAGUUAUCUCAAUUCAGAUUGUUGUCUGCAACUCGACAGCAUGAAGGUGGAAUCACUAGUAAUCGCGGAUCAGCAUGCCGCGGUGAAUUCGUACCUGAGCCUUGUACACACCGCCUGUCACGCUACGGAAAUCAAUUUGACUGGACGUUUGAAAAAAAACAAUGGUCUCAUCUUUUGCCUUGAGAACAAUGAAGGUGGUUCUCUCUACAAAGAAUGUCCUUUGAUUUUUUCUUACUAGAGUACAAUUUUUAACUAGAGCGAAGUCAUAACAAGGUAACCGUAGGGGAACCUGCGGUUGGAUUGACUCUUUU
rnacentral:rRNA from 1 species